UACGUAGGGCGCAAGCGUUGUCCGGAAUUAUUGGGCGUAAAGAGCUCGUAGGUGGCUUGUCACGUCGGGUGUGAAAUCUCGGAGCUUAACUCCGAAACUGCAUUCGAUACUGCCGUGCUUGAGGACUGGAGAGGAGACUGGAAUUUACGGUGUAGCGGUGAAAUGCGUAGAUAUCGUAAGGAAGACCAGUGGCGAAGGCGGGUCUCUGGACAGUUCCUGACGCUGAGGCACGAAGGUCAGGGGAGCAAACGGG
rnacentral:rRNA from 1 species